CACGCGCGUUAGUUAUGCGGUAAUCACGCUACGGUAACGAGCCACGGUGUAACGCGGCUGUUCUGUUCCGGUUUAAACGGAGAAAUAUUCGUGGAUUUCCCGUCGAAACAGCCGUUAAUCCGCUCUCUGUAACGUUAAGCGGGUAACGCGUUACCGCCGAGCACGAGCUCCCUGCUGCUGCUGCCCACUCAAAAUGUCUGUGACCGACCUCCGCGCGCCCCACGGUCACGCCACCGAGCAGGCUCGCGAGGAAAUAUAGAUUAAAAAAAGAGCUCUUAAAAACACGUUAAAUGUAGUUUUAAGCUCAUUUAACUGAGUUUAGUUGGAUAAAACGCCGGUACAUGAGGUUUAACGUCGAAGUUUAAGCCGUUGGCGACUUAAGAUGUCCGCUCGCGGAGAGAGACGAAGCUCCAACCGUCGUCGUUGUUGUUGUUGUUGAGGUUUAACACGCAGUGUUUUUCCGGGACGAAAGCCCGCGGGGAGCUCCGAAAACACCCCGGUACACAAACUAACUAUCCGCAGUUAUAUUUAUCAUUUCUCAUAUUUUCCGUUAAACUCCGGUUCCUCCGAGCGGCUGAUUAAAAGUUAAACUCGCGCAUUAGUCCGUGAAGAUGAACGCGGCAUAGCGAAACUGUUUUGGUGAGAUAAGCGUCCCGGUGAGAUAAGGACCGGGACACCGAGCCAGCAGAGGGGUUCAGGUGGCGGAGCCUCCCCGAGAGAAGGGAUUUCACCGGAGAGGAGGAGGAGGGGGCGGGCGGAGAUGCUUCCACGUCCAUCUGGGACCGCGGGUAUUAUCAGUCCGACGCGCGGCGGUAGUUCAUCAAACUAUAACCUGAUCGAUAAACGCUUUAACGGACCGAAUGUCCGACGGCCAACCUGCCGUUUAUAGAGUUCUCGGUAUGCGGAGCCCGUGUGGUGAACCACGGGGAGCAGCCAGCCGGGCUCCUCCGGUCGCACAUCACCUCCCGGGCUAUUUCAGGCAACAAUUAAAAUGUUAUUAGAAUCAAAGCCGCUCACCUCCGACGGGCUCCGGUUCCGCAGCUCUAAAGUGAUCCUCUUCUUCAUGUCCAUUUUGAAAUACUUGGUCGGUGGCGGUUUAACGGGCAGCGGGCGGUGAACAGUUGAGAAACUCCCGGGGACCGGAGCGGCAGCUGCUCUCCUCUGAUAGCCACAGUUUGCCUACUGAUCCUCCAUGAUACCUCGCGCCCUGCCCCCUCCCCUGCCGUCCCGCCCCCCGCUGCACACGGUUGGUCGCGUGCCUCUCCGCCGCCGCUGAUUGGACGGUGGGCACGUCAAUCAGGACUGAUCGGCCAUAAUCCGCGAGCUGGGCGGUUAUAGCUCCCAAAGCCUGUGGCGGCAGCCUGGAAAGGCCUCAUGGGAGAUGUAGUUGUCAAAUAUCAUGUUAACACAAGUUAAUAAUUUUUAUUUAUUACAAUGACCUCCCGUCUGUGUAAGUCUGCGAGACGCCACUGUCCAAAAUUGAUUUUGCUUUAAUCUGUCAAUUUUCAGAUUUUAAUUUUAAUUUAUUAACUAUUACCUCCAUACUUUGAUAAAAUGUACAGAAAAAUCUUUAAUAAUACAUAUAAACAUUAUAAUUUGUUUGACCUGCCUUUCUAAAACGCUCCACAUUGAAUCAUGUAUUAUUUGAAAGUUUGUUUUCUAGAGCACGUUAGCUAGUCCAGAUCUAUAAGAGAUGUGCUAAUGUGACAUUUUUAACUGUGUUUCUAUCAUUAGCUAAUCUUUAACAGCCGUUUUCUCAAAAUGACACAUUUCCUGUACGCCAAGUCAUUUUCUUCACCCUUCAAGGCCGUUAAAUCAUAAUAGUUUUAUACGCUGCUUCUGAGGUCUUAUAGCGAGACAUUUACAGAUUAAUCUCAUUUUAUGUUGCAUUUUAUCUGUGAAUAUGUGGGAAAAACGGGUCCAUCACACAUAUAGGUAUAUUUUGAAAUUCCAUGAAAAAACAAUAUUUAGAUAAACUGUUGUGUAUAUUAUCACAAUAAAAUCAAAAAUCAGUCUCUCAAUCAAUGCGCUGGAAAAUGGAUUUGUGUGAUGUGCAAAUCAGCGCACGUUUAAUGAGGAAAAGCCUAAUUUGCAUAUUUAAAAAAAGCUAUUUAUGUUUACUUUCAGCUUAUAAAGUUUCAUUGUGAUGCAAGUAAAGUUGUGAAAAAACAUCUUAAAGGUCACGUCUGUUAAAAAAUACACUGAAGCUACUGCGACAUAAGCUAGCUGGGGAGCUAGCAAGCUAACGCUCCUCUGUUGCUUGUCGUCACACUUGGGUUCCGUUAACAACACAUCAAUCAAACCUGAUCAGUUAUGACCGUCAUUUUUCUUUAAAUAAAAUAAGACUGCAAAAAAGUGAUAAACUGAAUUUGUCACUAAUGAAGUUAAAGAAAUUGUGUAUUAGCUUAUUAACAUUAUGAUAAACACUAUGUAAGGAAAAUAAUCUCGCAUGGUCCAUUGAGGCAGCAGCUCUGGAGCUUUCAGUCGUAAGCAGAUGUCCAGCUAUCAUGACUGCUGCUGAGGAAGAUCAUGGGAUGUGAUCAAAAGCUCCAGAACAGUAAAUAAACGUGGAACGAUUGUUUCGUCAGCCUCUGUUUCAAAGGUCAAGAAUUAACUUUCAAUCCAGUAUUUCAAAUGUUUGACCAAAAAAAACCUUCUCAACUCAAGGUCCACUUACUAGGAUUUUACACCCAGAAACUUCCUCAGUGGAUGCAGUCUGCUCAGAAGUUUCUGUAUGGUUAGUCCAUUCGUUAAGAAAGGCUGCACGAUGUUGAAAGCUCUGGAAGUGACUGUCAACAAUCAGAUUAUAAACUGCCAAACACCGUGACAUUAUUUAUAUUUUUAUUCUCGUAAAUGUUGGUUUAAAGUCCGUUUUAACAGAAGUUGCUUCCUGAGCUUGUGAAUUUUGCUUUAUCACAUUUAUUCAAUUGUUUCAUCUCACGUCACAACAAGGUUUAUGGUCUUGUCUUGAUACACUGGUCUUGGUCUUGACUUGGUCUCGGUUUGGGUGGUCUUGACCACAACAACUAGAGGGAGGUGGACAAGCUUAAGACACAAAACAUCGGUUCUGGUCUUGACUCUGUCUCGAUAAACUCUGGUCUUGACUACAACACUAGGUUCUGGUCUUGACUCAGUCUGGCGUCACGUUUAUCCUGUAAUAACAGAGACAUAUUGUUGCACCAAAGGCUGAUGUGUUAUUCGUCAGAGCCAAAGAGCUGCAGGGUUUAAAACACGCCAAGGUGUGUUCGUAGCAGUCAGUUCAACACCUGAACGCCUCGUGACGAGUUCAGAUGUCCCCGUGUGAAAGCAUCAAAAGCACAACAAGAAGCUCUUAGUCAAAAAAACAAGUGUUUAUAUUUCAGAUUACCAAUGCAGGUAGGCAGCCAUCAUCAUCAUCAUCAUCAUCACUGUGAAGCAUUCAGGUACAGUUAAAAAAAUACAACUUUAUAUGUACAUAGAAAAAGGUUGGUUUCGCUGAGCUUAUAAAAAUAACUAUCCUACUCAACUGAAAAGAUGCAGAAUCACCGAUCAGAGGACAGAAGGGCACGGCGGGCUGCUGAGAGGGCACAGGUGGGUCUAUCAGCUGACAGGUAGGAAUCAAUAACUGCUUUUGCACCGUGAGACCCAACAGGGCUGAACCAGGACAGGAAGACAACUAAAAACCCUGAACCAGGCCAGCGUUUUAAAGUUUGUCUUUCUGAGCAUUUUACAAAAUGUCCAACAGAUCACAGCAGGGUUUUUUUUUUUUUUUUUUGGAUAAAGUUAAAUUAUAAUGCAAAGAUAAAGUACUGAAUUUGAAAAGCUUUCCGUUUCGUACUAAUGCAGUGGUGGAGACUCUGGAGCUACGUUCACUUCAACUGGAGAGCGUUUCCUGUUCAGGUGAGAUCUCAUGCCGCUCACCUUUGUUCCAAUUUCGACCCCGAGGAUGUCAAACUGAUCAUCUGUGUCAUUAUUCUACCGAGGACCAUCCAAGGCCGGAUCAACACCUGGGCAAAGCCAGCAGCUGCCGUGUGACUCCGGACAUGUACAAGUCCCAGGACUGCAUGGCAGUGGGUUUUGGAGCUGACCUCCGUCGUCUCUCCCCCCGACUCCACCAGGGUCACCUGACCCUCCUCCCCCUCCAUGAUGAUCCCUCCCUCCUGCAGCACCACCAUCUCGCCCUCCUCCUCCACCAUGCCGGCCGCUGCCUCCUCCUCAUCCUCCUCCCCUCCCACCACCUCCUCAGGGCUGGCGGCGUUGGCGGCGGUGUUUGUGUUGGUGCUGUUGGCCUGACUUUGGGACAUGGCCUCCAGUUUGAUGCGGUACUCUUCGGCCUCCUGCUCCUUACGCAUCAGCUGCUGCCGGUACUCCUGUGCCUUCCUGUUGGCUUCCAGCAGCUGCCUCUGCAACAACUCCUGCAGAAGAAGAAGAAGUCGGCAAUCAAUCAAAUAUUCAGCAGACUCAUUCCCAUCAGUUCUGGAUCAAUUAGUUCAUAUGAGAACAAUAAACUCAGUGGUCACUUUAUUGGCCACGAUCAUUAAAUCAAUCAAUGUGCAUGAAAGCUAA